UCGGGCUCUCUGUCUCUCUGCUGGGAAGACAGAGAGUCCGCCGGUGCUUUUACACUAGAUAUCUAGCUCACAUAUACGCCCCCUUUGAGAUAGUUGCUGUGAAGGCUGGCUAACGCUACCAGAUAGGGCUAAGGUAAAUUACUGCAUUUUAUGUAGCGUUUUUAUCCAAAGUGCUUUACAAUUUUUUUGCCAUUCACACACACACUCACACACCAAUAGCAGUGAGCUACCAUGCAAGGGAUCAAUUUGGGGUUCAGUGUCUUGCCCAAGGACACUUCAACACGUGGACAGGAGGAGCGGGGGCAGCCAGCCAGAGUUUUGCUAUUUAUACUUUGCACAGCAACUGCUACCACAGUCCGGGGAGUAACCAUCUGAAAUCUACCUUGGAGCGUGGAGUUCCUCUUUAAGCAACUUAGUGCAUUGAAAUCUUUCAAAGCAGGCCUUAAUUCUUUUUUGCCAGUUCAUCAUCAAGCUCAACUUGUAAGUUAACAUCGAUCAGAAGUCCUAGAGUUGUUCAGAAAAACAUCUACACUUCCUUGUCAACUGAGCAAACUCCAUCUGCUGAUGAAGACAAUGUGAUAUGGCCAGAAGCUCCAGAAGAAGUGCGAGGAAACCUCCAAACCGACUUCACCGCCCUCAGCCACAACUGAGGAGCUCUGUCAUUCUCCUGCUGCAGCUCUGAGGGGACAGAGGCGCUCAAGAGAGAGGAAAAUGGAGACUAAAGGGGAGGGAAGAGGAGAGGUUUUUUUUACAGUAACAAGCCCUCAGAAAAAGAAACUUUGAAGACUGAUCAGCAUAGAACUGGAGGAUGAUACCUUUCCACAGAGGUUUAAGACCCAACAUUCUCUGUUUUAAAUAUACAUGUAAGACAUUAAGGAAUCUUUGCUACCACCAUGAUUCACAAGCUGCUCCAUCUGGCAUCGACACCAACAAACACACCUGCAGUCACAGCAGGUAUCAAGGGGCAUCAUUACCAUUAAUAUCGCAACAACAAGGCCAUGGUUAACAGCUGAAGUGAAAGCCCAGCAUAUGAAGAGUUGUUUCGACAACGUGAACACUUGCAAGUCAUAAACAUAGAAAUCUUUCCCCCUGCCAACCAUUCUUUUUUGGCGAGGGGCGAGUGGAAAACACAGCUGGAUGAUGAAUACUGAAAUCUUUCUCUCAUCAUGGUUUCAGAGGGAGACAACGUUUGGAACGUUAUGAAUUUCAGUUAAAGUUGAAUGAAACAUAUUAUGUUGUUAUAUUAUGUUAUGUUAUGCUGUAAGGUUUUAAGGUUAUUAAAAAAAAUUAAAACCUUUCAUCCCCCCCAUCCAUUUAGCAGCUUGGCUUGAUGGAUAUGUUUCUGCCUUAAUAUGAUAAUAAUACAAUAAUGCCUUUGUUCUGUGCUUUACAAACAGGGAAGGGUUUUAAGUGUUUAAAUUGGAGAGGCAAUAAAGAUAUCUGGUUCCUUCUUGGUAAAUCUCCAGGACACUACAAUGUGCACACUCAUCCUGCUUCAUUUCCCACUAAGUCGUUUAUCACUCUGUCAAAUAAAGACGUGACAGGAUUUAUUGGAGUCUCACUGUUAUGGUGCUACUGUAACAGCCCACAAGUCACUGAGAGGCAAAUUAGGAUUCAUUGAAUGUUUUCAGACUGAGUCCAUUGUUUGAGUUUAUAAGUUUUGUUUGCAUUUUUCAUGCGUUGAAUGCAUUUCUUUUUCAUAAAGAUGACUAAGUUCUUUAGUGAUUUUCAUCCACUUGUUCAAACACUUAGAUAAGAAUCAGUGGUGGUCUAGGAUGUAAAAUAAUAAAAACAAUUUGAAGAUCUAUAUGCCAGCCAAAAUGUUUGCUGUCUCUUUGUCUCACAGAAGAACCUACCAACCCACUCAGUCCUGUUGACAGAUGUAAUAUGGAGUUACGUAUUGGAUUUAGGAGCCAACCAUAAAUUGUAAUGUGUCAUGUUCUGCCUCUCUGUCCCCCUCUUCAGCUGCAUUCCCACUUCCUCAAAACCAUAAAUUGUCAUUCCCUACCUGUCCACCAGAUGCCUCAGACUUUUUCACCAGACUUCCUCAUUCACCUGCUCACCUGUUCUCACUUCCCUCCGUCACUCACUACUCAUACCAGCCCAGAUCCUUUGUUCCUUUGCUAGUUCAUCAUACUUGCCAUGUGCUCUGUACUUUGGGUUUCGAGCAACCUGAACCCGACUCUUACUCUACUCCUUUACCUGGACCUGAAUUUGAAUCUGCCUGCCUGUCAGCUUGUCAACCAGUACCAGAACUUGUACCUGACUGCCUAUCAACAGCCCUGUACAAAGAACCCAGCCCAGCUCUUAGUUUUUGCACUGUACAAAGAGCCUAGCUCUUUGUAAAGUGUACUCUUUGUUUUGUACCAAAACCCCAAUAAACAGAAGUUGAAAUUUUUACUGGUCCACCACAGCUUUCACCAGUUGUUAUUUGUCUAUAUUAUUGUAGUAAUGUCGUGAUAUUAUUUCAGCCCUA